UGAACGCUGGCGGCGUGCCUAAUACAUGCAAGUCGAGCGAACAGACGAGGAGCUUGCUCCUCUGACGUUAGCGGCGGACGGGUGAGUAACACGUGGAUAACCUACCUAUAAGACUGGGAUAACUUCGGGAAACCGGAGCUAAUACCGUAUAACAUGUUGAACCGCAUGGUUCAACAGUGAAAGACGGUCUUGCUGUCACUUAUAGGUGGAUCCGCGCCGCAUUAGCUAGUUGGUAAGGUAACGGCUUACCAAGGCAACGAUGCGUAGCCGACCUGAGAGGGUGAUCGGCCACACUGGAACUGAGACACGGUCCAGACUCCUACGGGAGGCAGCAGUAGGGAAUCUUCCGCAAUGGGCGAAAGCCUGACGGAGCAACGCCGCGUGAGUGAAGAAGGUCUUCGGAUCGUAAGACUCUGUUAUUAGGGAAGAACAAAUGUGUAAGUAACUAUGCACGUCUUGACGGUACCUAAUCAGAAAGCCACGGCUAACUACGUG
rnacentral:rRNA from 1 species